GCAGUCGAACGCUUUUUCUUUCACCGGAGCUUGCUCCACUCGAAAGAAAAAGAGUGGCGAACGGGUGAGUAACACGUGGGUAACCUGCCCAUCAGAAGGGGAUAACACUUGGAAACAGGUGCUAAUACCGUAUAACACUAUUUUCCGCAUGGAAGAAAGUUGAAAGGCGCUUUUGCGUCACUGAUGGAUGGACCCGCGGUGCAUUAGCUAGUUGGUGAGGUAACGGCUCACCAAGGCCACGAUGCAUAGCCGACCUGAGAGGGUGAUCGGCCACACUGGGACUGAGACACGGCCCAGACUCCUACGGGAGGCAGCAGUAGGGAAUCUUCGGCAAUGGACGAAAGUCUGACCGAGCAACGCCGCGUGAGUGAAGAAGGUUUUCGGAUCGUAAAACUCUGUUGUUAGAGAAGAACAAGGAUGAGAGUAGAACGUUCAUCCCUUGACGGUAUCUAACCAGAAAGCCACGGCUAACUACGU
rnacentral:rRNA from 1 species